rnacentral:lncRNA from 10 species
GGAAAGUGCAGGACACCGAGGGGACCUGUGUCUUGUGUUUCAGAUGUAUAGAAACUUGAUACCUCCCUGCAAGCUGAGGGAGCAGGCUCCGGCCUUGGCCAGCCCAGAAAGGGGAUCCCACAAUGCAGCGGUGGGCUGAAGUGUUCCUCAAGUGCCGCCAAAGUGGGAGCCCAGGCAGAGGAGGCGCCGAGAGCGAGUGAGGGCUGUGAGGACUGCCAGCACGCUGUCACCUCUCAACACUGCGGUGCUGAUAAUGACACUUCCUGAUAAUUAGGAAUGUGGAGCCAAGAUGGCCGAAUAGGAACAGCUCCGGUCUACAGCUCCCAGCGUGAGCGACGCAGAAGAUGGGUGAUUUCUGCAUUUCCAUCUGAGGUUUUUCCCAUGGUGUUCCCUUUCCAAUGUCUUUCUGGAAGUCACACAUUGACCACUAACAACAGGAGAGAGGACAAAGAAAGGCAGCAAAAGACUAUUUCCAAUGCGAAAUAUGAUCAGUUCCUGCUUCCUGGUUGCUGUGAGGAUUCAAUCUAAUAAUAUAUAUUAGAAUGUUCCUGAACCUCUAAAAGGCU